rnacentral:rRNA from 10 species
UCAGACAGGCUUACCACUAAGACCACUCCCGGUCUCGUCUGAUCUCGGAAGCUAAGCAUGGGCCUGGUUAGUACUUGGAAGGGAGACCGCCUGGGAAUACCAGGCGCUGUAAGUG